AGUGAACGCUGGCGGUAGGCCUAACACAUGCAAGUCGAACGAGUGGCGGACGGGUGAGGAAUGCGUCGGAAUCUACUCUGUCGUGGGGGUUAACGUGGGGGAACUGACGCUAAAACCGGAUACGAUUGAAUGAGCCGAUGUCGGAUUAGCUAGUUUGCGGGGUAUAGGCCCACCAGGGCGACGACCCGUAGCUGGUCUGAGAGGAUGAUCAGCCACAUUGGAACGGAGCAACGGUCCAGACUCCUAGGGGAGGAAGCAGUGGGGAUUAUGGGACAAUGGGGGAAAGCCUGAUCCAGCCAGCCCGCGUGGGGGAAGAGGGCCUCCGGGUGUAAAAGCCUGUUUGUCGGGAAAGCGGUACCCAAAGAGUAAGCACCGGCUAACUACGUGCCAGCCGCCGCGGUAAUAC
rnacentral:rRNA from 1 species